GAAAGGGGGCUUUUUGCAGAAACUGGCCUUGAGGCAUGAAGGAAGGUAAAUAUUGCACUGGGCUAGGGAGUGUAUAUCCUGGCAUGCUGGUAUCACACCGGAGGUUUGCCCUUCAUGGGGGAGCGUCCCCAAGCAGAGCAAAUCACAGAGGAGACUGUGCUAAGCGUGGGAUGGGUAAACCGGAGAAGGGGGUUUCAGUAGAGUAACAUCCAUGAUCAGGGGCAAGGUUAGUAUAUCUUGACAUUUUACAGUGAAUACAUGAUGUAUCUCUGUGAUAUAUGAUGUAUUGUGUAUUUGGGGCCGGUUUAGGUAAUGUUAAAAUAUGCAUGACAGGUUUAGUUUAAUUUACCUACAUUUUCAUUUCACACUAACUGAAAAUGUAUUGUUUAUUUUAGAAAAGUAGGGUUAGCCAUUUUAAUCUUAACCAGUCACAGGUCAAUCCCUCCAGAAAUUUUUUUUUUUUUUUUUAAAACAAAUAUUGAUCUGUGCACUUUCAGAUGGUCUUUCAAUUUAUGUGAAUUUCUGCUCUUCUAUCCGCAAAGGUUAUAUAAUACUAUGCACUUUAGGAGAUUAUUUCACAUAAUGGAUUGGGAUAAACAUACUUGACAAAAGAUUGUUCAAAGUAAAUUUACAACAAUGUCAAUAUGUCUCAAAUUGCCCUAACAGGCACUGGUGUUAAAGGAGAACAGUCAUUUCUGUGGAAAUGACAGGUCCCCAAUUCUUCACUGGUAAAAUUAUUGAAAUGUAUACUAGGGUAAUUAGUGCUGAGGAGGUAUAAAAAAAUAAUAACAUGCACUCAGGUAUUCCCUGCAUAGUGCCAUAUUGAGAACUGAAGAAAAUAAAUUCACAACCGCCAGCCAGACAUUUUUAGCGAUUGGAUUGUGCAAAAAUCACAGCACUGACCAUUCCGAAUGUCAGUGGCUUACCUGUUAGUUGAUAUCACUGUGUGUUUUACUGCUUGGUGAUUUAUAGUUUUUUUUUUUUUCUUCUAUGUAUGUGUUUUUAUUAAUCAGACCGCAUUGUUUAUAUGUAAUUCACAGUUCUUCACGUAAAAAUGUGGAACAAGUCAUGAUCCUCUGUAUGAUGCAAAUUAAAAAAACCUAUGACUUCAGCAAUAUCAAGACUUCACGUAUGCAUUUCACAGACUACAUAAUGCUAUUUCAGUUAUGUCAGAGGAAGGUUCCAAAACAUUUCUUCACCUGGGGUCAAUAAUUUAUUAUAUUCUGGUAUAUUUUAGUGUACUUAAAGG